UCGGGAUAAGUGCAAAGAAACAGAGCAAACAACAACAUAUCUCAUGCAUUGAUUAUCUAGGAAGAUAAAAUCCCUGAAAUGUUCACCAGGUACAAUUCAAGGUUAAUAUAGUCAACCUUUAUGUCAAUAACUAAUAAAAUGAGAGCACAUUCGAUUUAUGCCUUGUGAAAGGAUGUGUAUAUAUAUUCACACUAUUCAUCCAAUCCUGCAUUGCCUGGUUUCUUGAGCUAUUGACAUUACCUAGCCUAAUUAACAUAUUUCAACCAGGCAGGCAUAUACCGUGCAUCGGGGAUGGGUGUCUUGGGAACUCAACUUUUCAGUCCAUCCUUUCCGGAAGUUCUACCUCUUUCAGAAUCUUGACUUAGCUGCUAAUAUUUUCUUUGGUUUUGCGUUGCUUCCAUGUUCAGAGAUAGAACCAAGAAGGAUGCACGUCAGAACUAUUUUAUUGCUGCAAGAAUCUUAGGUGAUCAAAGUUAUAAAGAAGUGAUACAAGAAGGCGUAUAGCAUGGUGCCAAUGUGAAGAUCCCGCUAGGAAUAUACAAGCUUCCAGAAUGACACAAUGUGGCAGAGCUAUAACAUGUUUACUAGGUUCUGUGACUGGUCUUCAUGGCGUACAUGGUCUAACAUUUAACUCUUUCUUCAGUAGAUUAUCUUAGUUUCUUAAUUUCAUCG
rnacentral:lncRNA from 1 species